AAGUUGUGAGCCAAAAGGCAGAAUAAAGGCACAGUGACAUCUGUCACGCUGAUGGUACUGAAGUACGCAAAUCUGUUUACAAAUUGUAGCAUUUUUUUGUCAUUUUUCAGUUGAGGUAGAUGUGAGAGGCGACGUCUUGGAUGAGCUAGUUGAAGCCCUAAAGCAGCCUGGUUUGAGCACCUGCAAACAAAACCACACCUCCAGCUGUCAAUCAAUCAGCUUCCAAAUUUGCCAAAAUUACUAUAAGAAAAUCUUGCAAUGGUCAAGCACGUUUAAUACACGUCUAAUAAAACCAUUUUCUAUAUACAGACUUAGAACAUAUUGUUUUUCUCAAUUUUAUCAAAAUUAUCUAAUUGAAUGUUGUGAUUUGUCAGAUACACAUUAAAACAAAACCCUGCUGAAAUUAUCUGAACUUCGCAUACCACCUGCUGAAUCACUGUAAAACAAAAACAUUUUUUUCUCUGAACCUUGAUGUUCAUCGCCAAAGUUGGGUUAGGCAGUAUCCAACACAUGGGCCUAAAUUGUCCCUUUAGGCAAUAUACAUACAUAUGAGGUAGUGUAAGAGAUACAUUACAGAAGAAAUUUGGAGAGCAGCAACAUUUACAGUGCUCUCCUGUCUAAACAAAUCGUUCCUUGCUUCAAUUAUCUUUGGACAUGUGGUCUAUAUAUACUCUGUACAUUUCAAUAAUCUUGAGACAUGUUGUCUAUACUCAGUCCAUUACAAUGCUCUCCAGUCCAAACAGGUGAAAUGGAUUGAAGCCAUAACUCCUACUACGAGUAUAUGAAAUAAGAGUAUUAACAAUGUAUAUAUUUCUUACCAACAAUAUUGUAGAUAUGCAGUGAUCCUUGUGGCAGUGCAAUUCAAAUAUGGUAUCUAAAAUAUGGGUAAUUAUCAUAACAGGAUAAACAAGCUACAAAGGAUUUAUGCCACAUGUAAAUUUACUUAAUUAACUUGCAAUGUCAACUGGCUGAAAUAAUAAUUUUUCGAGAUGAUUACAGCACUUUAAAAGCAAUAGCUUCAAAGGCUAACAACAAAAACACUAUAGCUGAUAAAAAAGGUACGGUAAAUUAUAUUUCUUGCCUUCAAUAGUAGAAAAGAAAUAGAACUGCAUUGACAAAUGAAAGAUGUCCAGAAAUCUCAAAACUUUUUUACAUAUCUAGCUAUCAAAGUCACAUAUAUGCCCAUUCCAGUCAAAUAUAUGAUUAAAUUAAGAAAUGCACAAAUUGGAAUACCCAGAAACUGCAUCACAUUAGUUUGAGCUACCAUGUAAUAAUAAUCUACUGCCACAUGGGAAUAUGAUAUUGAAAAUUAGCCUAAGAACAAAAGUACAGUGGAGCCCAAGAACUAAUUGCCUAUAGGAUAAGCCCCAACCACAGGAUGGCAUCCAUGGUCUAGCUUUGUGGUCUGCCAAAACAUUUACGUGUUUUCCUCUAACAGAGCUCACCUUCACCUGCAACAAUCAGGCCUCAGGACCAGAGGGGAAGUCACAGUUCCAUAGCAUCUGAGUUUACAACAGAGGGGAUGAUUGAAUCGAAUUACAUCCAGCUAGGGUAAUAUUCAAAAAUAGAAAUAGAACGACAAAAGAAGUUAAAGAAUAAUGCACGUGCAAGGCAAAGAACCAUAAAUUAACAUGACAUGUUUCAUAAUUGUAAUCAUUCCAUAGUUCAUAAUAGAUGCGCAAGAAGUUCAGUUAAGAAAUUUUUUUACCAAAUCAAAUUAAUGUUGCACCAAACAAAAAACUAUCCAAUAUAAUUAUGAGCCAAAUGGCAUGCGGAUUUUUUUAGAUGCAAAAGUUUAGUUUUUUCUUCUGAGAUGAAACUGUAUACAAAAUACUGCAUACCUCAUGAGUACAUGGUGUUUGAAUAUGUGACAAUGAAGUGGACCAUUGCUACAGGCCUAAGGAAGAACCAGCUCCAACAGGGGAAGAACAUAAGCACUCCAGAGCCAUUUCUUCAAUUCAGGGGUUCCUAUCAAUGAAAACUGAAAAACAAAUCCUUUGUACAUAAACAAUUGCAUGUUUGUACUGCAGGAAAAACGUUUACAUAUUCAGUUAUCAUGAAUUAUGUGUAUAGAACUAAACUUGACAUGUUCAAGGAAAAUAUUAUCACUGCAUAAAUCUGAAUUUGUGAUGUGUAUGAAAGCAUGAUAUCCAGUAAUAUCAAUAGAAUACUCUACAUGCAAUACCAUUGCUUAUAAUGAUGUCCAAAGUAUCAAGUGAUGGUGCAUAGAAGUAUAGGACUAUAGGGGCUUGUAGCAGCAGAAAUAUUAGAAUGGCCUCAUCCUGAAACUAAAGUAUGCAGUAUUUUUAGUCCAUAACGGUCUCCACAUGUCUUUAGUAGUAACAAUGACAAAGAUAUACAGGGACUGUCACACAGUCAGUCACAUAUGUGGGCUGGGCCAAGCGGUGGGAGGAGAAAAACAAAAUUUGCAUCAACAAGAAGCACGUGAGGUAACUAACAAUGUCUAUUGGUAAAAAUUGUACAAAUCUACGAAACAAAACGUCUAGAACAAUCCAUGCAUACAAACUUUUAUAAAAAUAUUUCUAAAAGUAAUGACCUUCUCAAUCUCAGAUGAUUCACAUUGCUAGCGUUCACCUUUAGAAUGAAUAUCCUACUCUGCUCUUUUCAGCUUGGAAUUUCCUCCUGGAAUCAAAUAAUAAUACCAGGUUGAAUUUUAUAUUGACAAUGUACUAUUAUUUGCAUAUUUCAGAAAAAAGCUAGUGAGCAAGGCAUCAUACACUGUUAACUGUUCAAUGUGCAAGAUGUCUAAAAUGACAGGGGAAGUAUGCAGUACGACAAUAAUCAAAUCUCUAUAACUUCGCCACUUUCUUUACUAUAGUCCCUCUUGGUGGUGUUUGGAUCCAGGGACUUAACUUUAGUCUCUGUAUUUAGACACUAAUUUAGAGUAUUAAAUAUAGACUACUUACAAAACUAAUUACAUAAAUGAAAGCUAAUUUGCGAGAUAAAUUUUUUAAGCAUAAUUAAUCCAUAAUUAGAGAAUGUUUACUGUAGCAUCACAUAGACUAAUCAUGGAUUGAUUAGGCUCAAUAGAUUCGUCUCGCGAAUUAGUUCAAGAUUAUGGAUGAGUUUUAUUAAUAGUCUACAUUUAAUAUUUAUAAUUAGUAUCCAAACAUCCGAUGUGAUAGGGACUUAAAAGUUUUAGUCCCAUCUAAACAGGGUCUUAGACUUUUUUCUCGAGAAUACACAAAAGUUUUUCAUGCCUUUGUAUCUAGAAUUGGGAGGUAGCUCCUCCUAGAUUUAAAAAAUCAUCCAAUAUUAUAUAAGUUAAGUUGUCUAAAGAAGAUUAUAUUUCACAUGUUAUUAAGUACCCACGGAUGAUUUGCUUCUUUCAGCAAAUUAGGUACUGGUGCCGUCUUCUCCUUCAUCUAUCUCUCAGUUGUAUCAUUUUCCACGUACAAAACAUGCUUUGAGUCAGUGCUACCACUGAUAAGGAAAUUGAUAUUGGCAUUCAUACUAAUACUAACUAAAGAGGAGGAAGGGCAACAAAGGAUGGGCUUGCAAAUAAAUUUAAGGUACUUGAAUUGCACCUCAGUGGAGGCGGUGGAGAGCCUAGCCUAGGAUAUGAGCAUUUUGUUUGUUACCUCUCUGACCAAGGAGCUCACUUUUUUUUCCCCGGAAAACAAGGAGCUGACUUUGGUUACAGAAAAAUCAGAAGCAUGUACUGGAAAGCAAUAAUCCCUCUAGAUGAAAUUGAACUGGGUUGGAUAGCAAUAGUAUACAAGUUCACUAAUUCACCUGUUGUUGAUAACCUAUUACUAUAUUCCAUUCUUACCCCUUCUCUUAUAGCUCAUUCUCAUAAUUUGUAACUCCACCGCAGUCCCUACCAAACAAUAAAUCACAAUUUAUCCAUCCAAAACAACAUUUGCUAAGAGAGUUAGGGCCUGUUUGGUACAACUCCAACUCCUAAAUAUAACUCCAGGAGUUGAGUCUGGAGUGGAGUUGUGGAGCUGGCUAAACCCAGCUCCACAACUCUAGUACAUUUUUUGAGAGAGCUCUACCCAACUCCACUCCUAGUUUUGGUGGAGCUGAAACUGUUUGGCUGAGCUCCAGCUCCAGGAGAGGUGGAGUUGAAGCUGGAGUUGUGCCAAACAGGCCCUAACUAUUUUCUAGGACAUGGUUGGCUGCAGCUUCAGUUCAUUCUCUGGCAACAUCCUGUUGGUUGCAGGCUGCCGCUGGUACUCUUUGAUCCCCGCAAGCUGGCACUGCUAAUUAACCCCCAACGGCCACUGUCAUUGCUAACAACAUGGCCUCUAGGCGCUAGUCUAAAAUUCGUUGGGUGGGUGAGCUAGACUGGGUUCCCCUAUUAAAAUAAAAUCCCCAACUGGCAUAAUCUGUAUAAAAUCCCAAAUACACAGUCAGAAUAAUACGCAGGCAGCAGCAGCUGAACCAAGCGGCAAGCGCACAUGAGCCGAACCAGCAAUAGGAGCCGAGGAGAACCCCUCCCACGUACCUUGAGCAGCACCAUGGAAGCCCGGUAGUCGCAGCUCUGCUCCUGUCGUCACGCCAGAUCGCAGGUGGAGUUCAUGGCAGCGAUGGAUCCACGGCUCCGAUGGUGGCGGUUGCAGGCGGAGUAGGGAACCGGUGGCGGCGAGGAAUUGAGGAGGCAGCGGGGAAGGCGCGACGGUGGUGAAGCGCGAACGCGCGCGAGGGGAACCCGCAGAGGGGGAAAGCGCGGCGGUAGUGAGGCACGGAUGCGGGGGGAAGGGCGCCGGUGGGAUGCGUAGACACGGGGUGGGGAACGCCCAACGGCGGUGGGGAGGCACGGUCAGGGGUGGAGGCGGGGAGGAGUGCGCCCGGCGGUUUGGGGAUAGGACGGGGAAGAGCGCUAAUCCAAUCGCUAUUUUGCUGUAACCGCUGUUUACUCGAGGUAUGAGAUUGGUGGGAGAUCGCUAAUUGCAGAGGUGAUCCAACUUUUGAUAUAAG
rnacentral:lncRNA from 1 species